rnacentral:misc_RNA from 1 species
CUGAAGAUUUGGUCCGCAAGACCGCUCUUCCACCCUUUGUUUACCAUACCAUGUUGCUUUGGCGAGUCGCCCUAGGCCCACCGGCUUCGGCUGGUGCGUGCUCGCCAGAGACCUCAAACAACCUGAUUUUUGUGUUUGUCUGAACAACUUUUAAAUAUUA